GAACUCACCACCUCAGCUUUUCCCUCCAAAACAUCCCCUCCUUCUGUCCCUGCAGAUGGGCUCAGACCCACUCCUCACCUGCACUGCCACCCAGGUGUCCAUUCUGCUGCCCACAGUGCCCAGGCAGGUCCCUUUGCCUUUCUGCUGCCCCUCUGCAGCCCGAGGCUGCUCCCUGCUCCCUCUCUGUGCCUCAUCCCCAGGGAGCCUCUGCUCCCUGCCUGGCUGCUGUGCCAGGGCAGGGGCACAGAGAGUGCCCAGGGCUGUGCCAGGGCAGGGGCACAGAGAGUGACCAGGGCAGGGGCACAGAGUCCCAGGGCUGAGCCCUCCCUGUGCCCUGCAGAGCCCUGGCUGUGCUGCCCAGGGGUCUUGGCUUUCCCAGGGAAACUCUGCUGGGCUCCCUUCAGUUCCCUCAGCAUUCCCCUCAGAAAUGCCACCUCCCUGCCCUUGGCAUCCCCUGGCAUUUUCCUACACAAACACUUCUGUGUCCUCUCUAAACUGCCCCAGGGUUUCACCUGAAUGAAUGGCAUGAGCUGUGCCCAGGGCUCAUCAUUCACCCAACCUAAAUCAAGAGCAAAUGCUGGUAGGGCUUUAAGAACUGGAAAUACCUUUGAAACAAAAUAAAUUACCUUUUUCUUCUGGUUCUUUCUUUUUCUUUCAGGUGCUGGACUUGUCUCUGUGGAUGUGUGCUGAGCUCUCACUGCAGGGGACUGCCAGGCCUGAAUGGCUGUGAGUUUGUGUUCUUCUCACUGGGAAAACAGAAAUUAUUGUUAAUUAAACCACAGAAAUGUUUUCUGAAACCUUUCCCCAUUGCUGGUACAUCUUCUCUUUCUGCCUUUAACUUUACAGCUGUUCCCUGAUUUCCCUGCCUCACUUCAGUGCAGCUCCUAGCUGGGAAAAACUGGGAUAACUUAGAGGAGACAGAGGUGAGACUUUUAGCUGGAUUUUUCUAAAAUUUUCUAAUGAUACUGAACUUAUUUCCAAUUGCCCCAGUGAGAAGAACACCAACUCACAGCCAUCAAAAGCUCCAAACCCACUUAACUGAGGCAGGUCCAAGGAGAAAUCCAGCCAUGCCAGGCUGAGGCUGGAGUCUGCUCAUAAUUCCUUGUUGGUGUCUGCUGCAGUCUAGGAAUAGCUCUCUCAUUCUUCACUUGCUUGAUCUGCUUUUAUAUCCCUGAUUCAAAUGGAGUUAGGCAAACUUCAUGUUUGCUAUCAGGCUAUGAAAAAGCCUAUUGUAACCAGCACAAGCUUUUCUUAGAUGGAAAUGUGCAUGCAAAAUAGAAAGAGCUUUGAUACUGAGAUUUUUUUUUUUUUCCCCUGAGAUUCAAGUAUUUUAUCAUUUUAGUAACAUUCCAUUUUCCUGUUGCACUCAUUUUUAGAGUGCAUCUUUUGUAUUAGCUCUGAGUAUUAUAAUUCCUUCAGAAUUCCUGUGGAGGGCACUAUUACCAUUACUAUACAAUUAGCUACAGCUGGAUGUAAUAGAGAUGAACACUAAAUAGCUUUGCUGGAGGAGGCUCAGUGUCUUUUAACCCAGACACCUUCUUUACUGCUGCCUGGUUUGUUACUCUGCUUUAGGAAGUAUGAGGAACCUCAGAUACAAAGAAGAGAAUUUACAAGUUAUAAUUGUACAAGUUUGUUAUGCAAAAAGGUGCUGUGGAUUUGUUGGUUUUUCCCCCUGUCAUUAUCUUUGUUAGCAAGUACUAGAAUUUGGCAUAACCACUCAAAGGCUUUGUACAAGUGAUAUUUCCCAAGAGCCAGGAUGAUUUGUGAUAUUUGGGGAGGGAUGGAGGAGCUGAUUACCUUGUGGACCCUUCCUGCUCUUGCUCCUGUGAGACCUGUGCUCCAUUCCCUGUUCCACAGGGCAGAGCCAAGGCAUCUAUUCCCCCAGGAUUUAGAAAAGCCAGCACACCAUAAAGUGAGGCAGGGAUAACAAUUUGGAGCCAGCAAACAGAUUAGGACUCACCAGGGUUU